UGGUGAUCACUCUGCAGGCGGGCCGGGUCAUAAAUCAGCAGCCUCUAACGGCCACUCAUCCCGUUGAGGAUUCAGAUCUGACAUUUCACUUUUAAUCAGGUGUGCUGUGGUUUAAACUCUCAUCUGCGGCUUCAAAUGUGUUUGACAUUUUUGGGAAGAAGUGACAAAGCUUUAAAAAAAUGGAAACGCAGGCCAAGAAUGAGCGGCAUCUGUUUGUUACACAAACAUUAUCUGAGUGUUCAGCCCUUCCACUAUCAAAGAUAUUUGGCGUCUGGAGGUCGACCACCUGCUCUCCGUCUGACACGCCGCCAUUUCCAGGCUUCCAGCACCGAGACAUCCAUCUCUAGUGCUUGGCAGAUGGUUCAGACUGAGAGGUUUUGCCCUCACCGUGGCUUUAGGAGACGUCUUUAUCUGGCCUGGAAGCUUUACCCGGCCAUCUGCUCACAAAGGGUCUGCACGGAUUGGGGAGGGGGCAGGCGAACUUAUAUGUGCAAACACAUACAGCAACGGCGUUGACACGAGGCUGAUUGCUCAGGCUGGUGGCACUUUUUUGGAUCCACGCAUGUUGAAGAGUUUGGAUCAGGCAAAGAGAUGGUAACAGGAGUCCAUAUGGUGGGGGCCUGACAGGUGCAUCUGCCUCUGAGCUGCAGGGCAGUAGAUACUGAGCAGCGCUUUGUUUCCACAAAACAUCUGCCUCUUGGCCUGAAGCCCUGUGAAACCCAACUAAACCCCAGUGUGGUUUCAAAAGUCAGCCAUUCAUCAAGAUUCUCACAAAAGUCACCUUUUUAUGUUGACAGCAGCUCAGGAGAAGCAGAGUUCAUGGCGAUACACAUGCAGGCCUGCGUAUUAUUAAAGUAUUAUUAUA